CUCAUGUCCUAGGGAGGGUAGGAAGGAGCAGAGAAUAAGCUAUAGGGCUGGAGGACAGAGAACAUAGGAGGAAGGCCAUGAAAGGACUCUGAAGGUAAACUGAGGCAUGGUUCAGAAAGAAGGGGAACUUCAGAAAGCUACCACACCAGCGGUGAUGCCUCUUGUAAACUGGGAAUCUCCUAAGACAGUGACUCCUCGGAACACCUGUCUUGCACUCCACCUCCACCAAUUUCAAUAGUCUGGAUCACCUCCCAUCAAACAGCUUCAGAGUGUCUCAAAGAUCUGCACUUCCUGGAGGAUGGCUUCUGGGGAGCAGGUGAACCAAACUCCACAUCCCCACCCCCAGCUUCAAUCACAGCAUCUACUCUUCCCUAUUCACACUCAGAUUUCAUGUAAGAAACCAUUUGAAGAAAGGACCUUACUGUCUACAACAACAAGCUCCCUAGGGCACAGAGCUGGGGCUGAAAGCCAGACCAAGGUUUCUGGAGCUGCACCGUCCAACACAUAGCCAUAGCCAUAUGUGGCUAUUGAGCACCUGGAAUGUGACUAGUUCAAACUGGGAAGAGGAGAUGUUCAAGGACUGGAUUCUGACUGGGGAAAAACGGAGUUUGGAACCUUCUCUCAGAGAGCCACGAGGCAAACACCUCAGCCUCAUAACUCACUUCAACUGUCCAACUUGUCUGAUAACUGGUCUUUGGCUGCAGGCAGGAUGCUUAACCUUUCCACAAUGCAGCUUCCUCAUCUGUAAAAUGAGAGCUAUCAACGCUAUCCAGUAGAAGUUUCUGUGAAGAUGGUCUUUUGCAAACCCAGAUGGUGUUCACUACGCAUGCAGAUGGUCCAGCCAGCACCCUGGCUUCUUGGUUCCUUGCCCUCCUCAACUCCAAUGACUCACCGUCACGUUGCCAUAGCCACUCACUCCCAGAGCCAUGACCUACACUGCGCCCUCCCAGGAGAGCUGGACUGAAAUCUUAUCCCCUCGUCUCCAACUACAACAUUCCAGCCCUCUAACUCUUAUUUCCUUUGCUCCCAGUAAGGCUACUCUCUAGGUCUGUUGAGACUUCCAGUUCCUUGACUCUAUUCUUUCUUACUUGCCAGUUCCUCACGUCUUUACUUCUCUUCCUAACCAGCCUUGAUUCUACAAUGCUUCACCUCUACUCCUCCACAAAAUGAUCUCCUCCUCCAUUAUUAUUAACCUUCUGAACUGCUCUCCUGGCUUCAGACUUACACUUUAAAUCCAUUCUCUUGGGGCGCCUGGGUGGCUCAGUCAGUUAAGCGUCCAUCUUUGGCUCAGGUCAUGAUCUCAAGGUCUGUGCGU